AGAGUUUGAUCCUGGCUCAGGAUGAACGCUAGCGGCAGGCCUAACACAUGCAAGUCGAGGGGUAACAGAGAAGCUUGCUUCUGCUGACGACCGGCGCACGGGUGCGUAACGCGUAUGCAACCUACCUCAUACAGGAGAAUAGCCCUUGGAAACGAGGAUUAAUACUCCAUAGUAUCAUUCUUUCGCAUGUUAGAAUGAUUAAAGAAUUUCGGUAUGAGAUGGGCAUGCGUCCCAUUAGCUUGUUGGUGAGGUAACGGCUCACCAAGGCAACGAUGGGUAGGGGGCCUGAGAGGGUGGUCCCCCACACUGGUACUGAGACACGGACCAGACUCCUACGGGAGGCAGCAGUGAGGAAUAUUGGUCAAUGGAGGAAACUCUGAACCAGCCAUGCCGCGUGAAGGAUGACGGCCCUAUGGGUUGUAAACUUCUUUUAUAUGGGAAGAAACUUAUCUACGUGUAGAUAACUGACGGUACCAUACGAAUAAGGAUCGGCUAACUCCGUGCCAGCAGCCGCGGUAAUACGGAGGAUCCAAGCGUUAUCCGGAUUCAUUGGGUUUAAAGGGUCCGUAGGCGGAUUUUUAAGUCAGUGGUGAAAGCCGACAGCUCAACUGUCGAACUGCCAUUGAUACUGGAAAUCUUGAGUACAAAUGAAGUAGGCGGAAUGAGUCAUGUAGCGGUGAAAUGCAUAGAUAUGACUCAGAACACCGAUUGCGAAGGCAGCUUACUAACAUGUAACUGACGCUGAGGGACGAAAGCGUGGGGAGCGAACAGGAUUAGAUACCCUGGUAGUCCACGCCGUAAACGAUCAUCACUCGCUGUUGGCGAUAUACUGUCAGCGGCCAAGCGAAAGUAUUAAGUGAUGCACCUGGGGAGUACGCCGGCAACGGUGAAACUCAAAGGAAUUGACGGGGGCCCGCACAAGCGGUGGAGCAUGUGGUUUAAUUCGAUGAUACGCGAGGAACCUUACCAGGGCUUAAAUGUAGUAUGACCGGUCUGGAAACAGACCUUCCCUUCGGGGCAGAUUACAAGGUGCUGCAUGGCUGUCGUCAGCUCGUG
rnacentral:rRNA from 1 species